rnacentral:rRNA from 1 species
CGGAACGUGUCCUGUAGUGGGGGAUAGCCCGGCGAAAGCCGGAUUAAUACCGCAUACGCUCUACGGAGGAAAGGGGGGGAUCUUAGGACCUCCCGCUACAGGGGCGGCCGAUGGCAGAUUAGCUAGUUGGUGGGGUAAAGGCCUACCAAGGCGACGAUCUGUAGCUGGUCUGAGAGGACGACCAGCCACACUGGGACUGAGACACGGCCCAGACUCCUACGGGAGGCAGCAGUGGGGAAUUUUGGACAAUGGGGGCAACCCUGAUCCAGCAAUGCCGCGUGUGUGAAGAAGGCCUUCGGGUUGUAAAGCACUUUUGUCCGGAAAGAAAACGCCGUGGUUAAUACCCGUGGCGGAUGACGGUACCGGAAGAAUAAGCACCGGCUAACUACGUGCCAGCAGCCGCGGUAAUACGUAGGGUGCAAGCGUUAAUCGGAAUUACUG